UACGUAGGGGGCUAGCGUUGUCCGGAAUCAUUGGGCGUAAAGCGCGUGUAGGCGGUUCCGGUAAGUCCGCUGUGAAAGUCGAGGGCUCAACCCUCGAAUGCCGGUGGAUACUGUCGGGCUUGAGUACGGGAGAGGCGAGUGGAAUUCCUGGUGUAGCGGUGAAAAUGCGCAGAUAUCAGGAGGAACACCGGUGGCGAAGGCGGCAUCCUGGACCAACACUGACACUGAGGAGCGAAAGCCAGGGAGCAAACGGG
rnacentral:rRNA from 1 species